rnacentral:rRNA from 1 species
UACGAAGGGGGCUAGCGUUGUUCGGAAUUACUGGGCGUAAAGCGCGCGCAGGCGGCUAUCCAAGUCAGUGGUGAAAGCCCGGAGCUCAACUCCGGAACUGCCAUUGAAACUGUUUAGCUUGAGGAUGAGAGAGGUGAGUGGAAUUCCCAGUGUAGAGGUGAAAUUCGUAGAUAUUCGGAAGAACACCAGUGGCGAAGGCGACACACUGGCCCGUUACUGACGCUGAGGCGCGAAAGCGUGGGGAGCAAACAGG